AUGCCAAAAGUUAUUUAGUACAAAUAAAUAUCAAAUGUGUUAAGCAGAAAUUUUAAAGAAGUGAAAUUUGAUGAUUAUAUCAGCGGCCAUACUUCUCUCUCAUAUCAAACAGGUCUUCAACAAUACUGAUUUGCAUCAAAGUUUCCAAUGUCCAGUAAUCCAAAGGGGGCAAACAAGUGGCGGGAACACCAAGGUGAUCAACAACACCCAAUGGAUAAUUUCAACACCAGAGGAAGUGCAGAUGCGUUGCCAACCUUUAAGGAAAUUGUAUGCUCGCUUUUUGAAUUGUUAACAUUGUUUACUAU